AUUGAGCGCUGGCGGCAGGCCUAACACAUGCCAGUCGAACGGUAACAGGAAGAAGCUUGCUUCUUUGCUGACGAGUGGCGGACGGGUGAGUAAUGUCUGGGAAACUGCCUGAUGGAGGGGGAUAACUACUGGAAACGGUAGCUAAUACCGCAUAACGUCGCAAGACCAAAGAGGGGGACCUUCGGGCCUCUUGCCAUCGGAUGUGCCCAGAUGGGAUUAGCUAGUAGGUGGGGUAACGGCUCACCUAGGCGACGAUCCCUAGCUGGUCUGAGGGGAUGACCAGCCACACUGGAACUGAGACACGGUCCAGACUCCUACGGGAGGCAGCAGUGGGGAAUAUUGCACAAUGGGCGCAAGCCUGAUGCAGCCAUGCCGCGUGUAUGAAGAAGGCCUUCGGGUUGUAAAGUACUUUCAGCGGGGAGGAAGGGAGUAAAGUUAAUACCUUUGCUCAUUGACGUUACCCGCAGAAGAAGCACCGGCUAACUCCGUG
rnacentral:rRNA from 1 species